rnacentral:tRNA from 4 species
CUGCCCGUAGCACAAUGGAUAAUGCGUUGGACUCCGACUCCAAAGACUGCCGGUUCGACCCCGGCCGGGCAGGCCA